GGGAACCAAGCUAGGGAAGCUUUCCAGGCAUUCUCUCUCUCUUAAUUCUCGCACCAACCCUAAAUUAAUUGAAAACCCAUUUAACCGACGAUGUAACUGAGUCCUGGGAAGGGACUUGAGCAAGGUCGCACAGCAGAAACUGCUCCGAUUGUGCGCCCCACCCGCCGGCCACGCAAGCACCGUCCAGCCGCCUUCCUCCCCAACAGUCUUGUCUGGAUAAGCCCUGCUUCCCGGAGAGGCCGGCGCCCCCGUAGACGCUGCUGUGCUAGGCGACGGCAGUGAGGUAGGGGUUCCCGAAGCGGCUGCGGCACGUCCUGUGUGGCGUCCGGUUUUCGAAACGAGGGGUCGCUUAGUCAGAAGAUACGCCAGCCUCUCGCCUCGAGCUUGGCUCCUUCGCCGCCACUUCCCGCGGCCCCCACCUCAAGCCUCUGCUCCCUUCCCGAGUCCUCGCGUAGGAGCCAGAGCCAGGACGAGGGUCGUCCCGCUUCUCUGGACCCGUGGGAACCCUGCGCAGUCCGGUUUCCCGCCAUAUCCUGGGCUCCUAUCACGCUGCCUACCUGGCCUGUAGUAAGAGCACUCAAUAAACAUUUGCUAAAUAAAUGAAUGUUCACUGAUUGCCCGCUUUGCGGCCACUUGGUGCUGGGAGGGGGGACGCAACCUAAAAGGCAUGGGACCUAGCCUCUAGUUCAAAGUUUCUGGAGAGGUCAGGCGUCCUGUCGUGUUCGUCUCUUGUCUUCAGCACUCAGCUCAAUGUGGUACAAGGUCGGCUGGAACACAGGGGUGAAAAGCGAGAUCUGUAGAAGCUUUUAAAACAACUUGUAACAACUGGCAGUGAGGCGGGGCGCUUGGAGAGAGCAGGAAACCAAAAAAGCCUGUGUGUAACAAUACAGGGAGGAGGCUGACCUCAGGGUGUUAGAGGAAAGGCAGCGAGGACAUUGAGUGCUGGGGUGACUGAGACAAAAGGGGCGUAGCCACCAAUACUGACAGGCUUCUUUAGAGCAAAGGUUUGGUAAGCACCGAGGCAGGAACGCCCACGGGGGCGGGGGUGCGGGCAAUGGUGUUAGACUCAAGGCUCGGUACCCAGAGGCGGGGUCACGUGUCAAAGAUGGCCCCAUUCACAUGGAACAGGAGAUGUGCAGCUGGGCGUUGGGGUUGGAAGCGGAGCUGGAGCACCUGCGGUUGACUCUGGGCUGUAUUAUUUACUAGCUGGAGGAUCUUAAGCAAAUUACUGCACCUCUCUGGGCCAGUUUAACCCCUAAAAUGAGAAUAAUAAUGGUAUAUACCGCUAAGGAUUUGGGGGGAUUCUAUGAGUUAGUUUUAUAAAGUCCUUAGAAUGGUGUCUGGCACAUACUAAGCUCUCCAUAAACGUUUAUAGAGAGAGAGAGAGAGAGAGAGAGAGUGAGAGUCUGUUACCAACAUCAUUUCUUGAUGUGAGAGAUAAUUGUACAAGGGCAGCAACAUCUAGCCAAUCAGAGGAAAUUCUGUGUUCUUUUAAAGGGAACUCAACUCAGAUUUAUGGGUCUAGCACAGAAUGCUUCAUUUCUAACCCUCCCAAACCACUUCUCCCUCAAUUUUCCCCACCUCAACAAAUGGUGCCACUGGCCCACCAGCUGGCCAGAAAUCUUGGAACCAUCCAGGACUCCUCUGUCUCAUACACUCGAAAGCCUGCAUCAGCAGACGCUGUCUGCUCUGCUUUCGCGACCCAUCCAGUCUGACGACUUGUCUGCUGCAGUCAGGGAGCCCCAGGCAGCAGCAUCACUACCUGGACCACAGCUUUGCCUCCUCACUGUCUGUCCACCUGCUUCCACUCUUGCUUCCCAUAGUCCGUGUUCACCACUCAGCAGCCAGGGUGAUCAUUUAAGAGGUAAGUCAGAUCAUGUCCCACCAGGCUUGACACCUACCAGUGAAUAAACACCGAAGUCCUCAGGAUGGCCUGGAAAGCUGUACCUGACCUAACCACCCCACCUCCGCCUGUUACAUCUCAUCUCCUACCACUUUCCGCCCCACACCCUGCAUCCCAGCAUGCUGGCCUCCUCGCUGUGGGCUAUGCCAACUGAGCCCAUUCUUGUCUCAGGGCCUUUGCACUAGCUGUUUCCUCUGCCCACUCCCAUCUCCACCCUCCACACGUAUGCACGUGACUCACUCACGUUACUCAGGUCUCUCCUCACAUGUCCCCUCCUCAAGUUGCCUUUGCCUGACCAUCCUAUCUAAAAUGAGCUCUCUGUCCCAUUUCACCACUUUGUCUGGCUUUAUUUUUCUUUCUAGCUCCUCUCCCGGCCUCACUUCAUAUUAGAGACCUGUUUAUCUCUUUAUCAUCCAUUUGCCUCAAUAGACUAUAAACUCACUGAGACCAGAAGUUUCUGUGUCUUGUUCAUUGCUGAAUUCCCGAGCCUAAAAUUGUAUCUGGCACCUGCUGGACACUUAAUAUACAUUUGUUGGAUGAAUGUUUAUAUAUUCUUCUAAUAACCAUGUACUAUCAUGAGAAUUGUAUGAGUUAUUAUUUAUAAAUGCCCAAAAACUGUGCCAAGUGCCAGGAUGGCUUAGGCCCCAGAGAAGUGCUGCUGAGCACCCAAGGCCCUUGCCCCUGGUGGCCUGUUGACUGGGGCCAUGAAUUACAAUGGCAGCACAGCGUGACUCAUGCCAAGGUAGGGGCCUGCGGGGGAUGAUUUGGGAGCGGAGAAAGGCUUUGAAAUCAGAAUGGGAAGUCUUUGAAGACUUGCAGAGAGAGAAGUGGGCUGGACCCCGACUUUGAAAGACUUGUGGGAGUUAGCUAGAAGAGGGGAGGAGAUUCUAGACACAGGGAGACU